UACGAAGGGGGCUAGCGUUGUUCGGAAUUACUGGGCGUAAAGCGCGCGCAGGCGGCCCAUCAAGUCAGGGGUGAAAGCCCGGAGCUCAACUCCGGAAUUGCCUUUGAAACUGGUGGGCUUGAGUACGGGAGAGGUGAGUGGAAUUCCCAGUGUAGAGGUGAAAUUCGUAGAUAUUGGGAAGAACACCGGUGGCGAAGGCGGCUCACUGGCCCGUUUCUGACGCUCAGGCGCGACAGCGUGGGGAUCAAACAGG
rnacentral:rRNA from 1 species